CGCGUAGGCGGUUGUUUAAGUGGGCUGUGAAAUCCCUGGGCUUAACCUGGGAACUGCAGCCUAUACUGAGUGACUGGAGUACUGUAGAGGGUAGUGGAAUUUCCGGUGUAGCGGUGAAAUGCGUAGAGAUCGGAAGGAACACCAGUGGCGAAGGCGGCUACCUGGACAGAUACUGACGCUGAGGCGCGAGAGCGUGGGGAGCAAACAGAAUUAGAUACCCUGGUAGUCCACGCUGUAAACGAUGAGAACUGGAUGUUGGUGAUCUUGGUAUUGCCAGUAUCGAAGCUAACGCGAUAAGUUCUCCGCCUGGGGAGUACGGCCGCAAGGUUAAA
rnacentral:rRNA from 1 species